AACUCUUAACGGGGGAUCACUCGGCUCGUGGGUCGAUGAAGACCGCAGGAAACUGCGUGUCGGUAUGUGAAUAGCAAGAAUACCAGAUACAUCGACAAGUUGAACGCAUAUUGCGGCGGCGGCGGCAGCCAUAUGAGCUUGUCGCCGCCACUCCUCUACGAGGGUCG